GGAUGAAACCCACCAAAACUUGGCUUGAACCCACCCAAACUUGGCCUAAAGCCACCCAAAAUCGCUCCAAACCCAACAGAAAGGUCUUGAACCCACCCAAAACUCCACCCCCACCCCAACCCGACCCCGAAUCCCCAAAAACCGGCGGAAAAAAAAAAAAAACGACGGCGAAAAUUUCGGAACCGUCCCGGAAACGCCCAAAAAGGGCCCCGAAAGACGAGAGAAGGUCCCGGAAGCGGCGGAAUUCGGCGGCGCCGGCGGCGUCCGGGAUGAUUUUGGGAUGAUUUUUGGGAUGAUUUUGGGGAGUUUUGGGGGUGGAUUUUGGGGGAGGGGCGGCGCGGCCGCCGCCCAUUUUAGUAGAGAAUAAAAAUUUGGGGAGUUUUCCAA